GGAGAAGUACUCAAGUACGGCUGAAGAGGCGCCCCUGCUAAGGGUGUAGGUCGGGAAACCGGCGCGGGAGUUCAAAUCUCCCCUUCUCCGCCA
rnacentral:tRNA from 2 species